rnacentral:rRNA from 1 species
UGCGUAGGCGGGUUUCUAAGUCAGAGGUGAAAGCCUGGAGCUCAACUCCAGAACUGCCUUUGAUACUGGAAGUCUUGAGUAUGGCAGAGGCGAGUGGAACUGCGAGUGUAGAGGUGAAAUUCGUAGAUAUUCGCAAGAACACCAGUGGCGAAGGCGGCUCACUGGGCCAUUACUGACGCUGAGGCACGAAAGCGUGGGGAGCAAACA